UACGGAGGGUGCAAGCGUUAAUCGGAAUUACUGGGCGUAAAGCGCGCGUAGGUGGUUGAAUAAGUCAGUUGUGAAAGCCCAGGGCUUAACCUUGGAACUGCAAUUGAUACUGUUUAACUAGAGUGUGGUAGAGGUAAGUGGAAUUUCAGGUGUAGCGGUGAAAUGCGUAGAUAUCUGAAGGAACACCAGUGGCGAAGGCGACUUACUGGACCAACACUGACACUGAGGUGCGAAAGCGUGGGUAGCGAACAGG
rnacentral:rRNA from 1 species